rnacentral:rRNA from 1 species
AAUGAACGUUGGCGGCGUGGAUUAGGCAUGCAAGUCGCGCGACAAGGAACCUUCGGGUUCUGGAGGAGCGGCAAACGGGGUAGUAAGGCAUCGAAACGUACCCUCUUGUUGGGGAUAGCCGCGGGAAACUGCGAGUAAUGCCCAAUAAUCCCUACGGGGCAAAGGUCCGCCGCAGGAGGAGCGGCCGAUGUGAUACCAGCUAGUUGGUGAGGUAAUGGCUCACCAAGGCUUAGACGUCUAGGGGGGUGUGAGAGCAUGGCCCCCACCACUGGGACGUGAGAUACUGCCCACGANACCUACGGGUGGGCUGCAGUCGAGAAU